rnacentral:rRNA from 1 species
CCUANGGGUGGCAGCAAUUAGGAAUCUUGCGCAAUGGGCGAAAGCCUGACGCAGCGACGUCGCGUGACCGAUGAAGUCUUUCGGGAUGUAAAGGUCUUUUUUGGGGGAAGAAGGAUGUGACGGUACCCCAAGAAUAAGCCCCGGCUAACUACGUGCCAGCAGCCGCGGUAAUACGUAGGGGGCGAGCGUUGUCCGAAUUCACUGGGCGUAAAGCGCGCGUAGGCGGGUUAUUAAGUUGGAGGUGAAAUCCCGGGGCUCAACCCCGGAACUGCCCCCAAAACUGGUAGUCUUGAGGUAUGGAGAGGGAAGUGGAAUUCCUGGUGUAGCGGUGAAAUGCGUAGAUAUCAGGAGGAACACCCGUGGCGAAGGCGGCUUCCUGGCCAUAUCCUGACGCUGAGGUGCGAAAGCUAGGGGAGCGAACGGGAUUAGAUACCCUANUANUC